CCGGUGCUCGGGGCAGCACUGCUGACGUGUGUUUGUUAACAGCGGUUUGGUCCGGCAGGCACUUCGGCACGUGCGCAGCUUUCAGCCUGUGCGGAGCCGUCCCAGCGACUCGGCAAGGCCGCGCCCAUGUCUGAGUGACACUCGCAGGCACCGUGCUUGCAGCCGCCAGCCCGAGAGUGUUAGAGACACGGGGGUGAAACCUCACUCUCCAGCCCACCCUCGGGCACAGUGCCCUGGCUUAGAGACACCAAUUAGUGGCCAUGUGUAGGAUCCAUGGAUCUUCAGAGAUGUGUUGUGUUGUGGGGAAUGGCGUGGGUUCAAUAAAAAUGGGGUUGCCUCCUUAGCCACCUUGUCUCUCUAAAGUUACACGUGCUUUUCCCGUGCUUUCAAUUUAUUUAGUUAUUUUAUUAGAAAUGAGCUCGAACCCACCUCCAGCUCUAAAGCAUCCAUUGGCCUGCUAAACCCAGGGUUCUGAGUUCAAUCCUUGAGGAGGCCGUCUAGGGAUUUGGGGCAAAAAUUUGUCAGGGAUGGUACUUGCUCCUGCUGUGAAGGCAGGGGACUGGACUCCAUGACCUUUCAAGGUCCCUUCCAGUUCUAGGAGAUAGGCAAUCUCCAUUAAUUAUUAUUAUUAUAGAAAGAUGGGGAGAGCUCAGAUACGCAGCUGCACUUCCCUAUUAUUAUUUUCUGUUUUCGUUUGCGUUGUGAAAGUUGUGAAACACACGGGGUUUAUUUUUUAAAACAUGCUAAUUUCUCAAUAGGGAGCUGGACAAGUCCUGACCAAGAUGAAUACAGUAGUUCUACAGCACCAGCUGGCAUUUUUCAAAUAAGAGAAUAUGAAAUGAAAAAUAAUUUAACUGAAUUAAAAUGUGAAACGUAAAACGCUGCACCCAUUAGAUUGCUUUAGUUGGUUUGUAAUAUGGGCAGUGGUAAAUAUUUGUGACAACUUUUAUUUUGAAGGUGGAGAUUAUUUAAAAUUUUUGUUUCCCCAUUGGAGGACUUCAUAUAGCAAACAGAUGUUUAGUGUUUUUUAAAAAUUUUAGAAGUACAAGGUUGAUGCAUCACAGUAUAAACUGUGUUCUAUUAAAUGUAGAAUAAGCCUAAUAAUUUUUCAUUCAUCUUCUCCCUCCAAACUUUUGCUGCCAAUUUGAGAUUUCAGUGAUUGCUCUUUAUUUCCUUACCCAAAACCUCUCUUUCCAGCUGUGACUACCUUCAGCAGCAGAAAUCUCAGCCUAUGUGUACAAUAAAUUGGCUUCCAUUCUGCAACAUACAUUAAUGCUACCUGUUCUUCAUGUAUAUUCUGGAGAUCAAAGGAAUACAUAACAAUAAAUCCCCCUUAAUGCCCCAUAACCAGUAUGUACAAGGCAUUAUGUACAAGGCACAGUAUCUGUUUUGAAAUAAAAACACUCUUAAGUGUGUCCUCUCUGUAACAGUGCUUGCAAUGGACAGGCACAUCUACAAACACCCCAGCAUGCAGAUGUAUGGAUGAGAAGUGUGGUAGUAGUUACUUUGAGAUGCAUGAGCUUUAUUUUUACACAUUUAAGGUUUGUUGACCACUAAUUUCUUGUGUCCUAUGCCAGUGUUCUUUUUCAGUCCUACAUAUACCCAUAUCAAAUUGAAGGUAGACUGGUAAUUGCUCUUGUCUCCAGAACCUUCUUUGCUGACAGCUACUAAGAAUAAAAAACUCCUGUUAAAAUGGUUUUCCUUAUCUUAUCCCAAGAUCCUACCUUAUGGUAAUCUUGCCACUCCAGCAUUGGUCUUUCUCUCAUUUCCUGAUGAUCUGGAUCAGAGGUAUUUGAUGUGGAUGUGUGUGCCAAGGGACUGAUGACUGUCCUCCAGAUGCUAUUUGUCAAAACAUUCCAAAGCUAUACAAGUGCAUGUGCAAGCUAGGUUACAGUGGUGAAGGGAAAAUGUGUGAAGGUAAAUUGACAGCAGUACUCCAUGCUAUUUGGCCAUAGCAUGUGUGCCAGAGACUGUACUAUCACCAGUUCCUGUUUAAUUCAUAGGUAGGACUGCAAAAAGGGUUCUAUGAGAAUAUUUGUGAUAAGCUGUUGACUCCUUAUGUCAUAUAUGUAGGCCAGGAACUUGCUAAAUUAAAAACUUAAUUAUAUAUUUGUGUAUGAUUUAACCCCCCCGCCCUGCCAAUCUUAAAAAGACAACAAAUGCAGCCAUUAUUUCUGUCCAGCUCCUUAGAUUUACUUUGGCUACAGAGUUAUGGAAGUUACCUUUUUGAAAAGCACUGACAUGGAAGAGGAGAAGAAAGUGCCUUAUUUCUACUAUGAGUUUGUCUAGCUUCAACUUCUUCUUGUACUUUAUUUGCUCGUGUGAAGAGCCCUACACAUUGGUUAGGAGUGUGCAGGGUACAGGCAGUCGCAGCUCCCGAAUCUGGUCCACCAGGGUUAAUUCCUGGUGGGCCCCCACCUCUCUGUUUAGUUGCAUGGCUGCUGGUACCAGUGAUUUUAGUGCCUCUCAAAAAGUCCAGAAUGUGUUUUAGGAUUGGUCUUUUGUACCCUAAAAUGAGAAAAGUCAACCAGGGCCCAUCAGAUGACACAAGGGUUGGCAGAGUGCACUUGCUGUAGGCUAAUGUCAAAUUUUUAAUUUAACACUAGCCACAUGUAAGCUAUAUUUGCGCGUGUACUAAUAAAUGUUCUAAUUGCCAAAAACUUCAGUGAGCAUGGUAGAUGGUGAGUGUCUUGGAAAAUCAGGCUACUGAUUUAGGUAUGUGAAUAUAGAUUUAGGGGGCCUUUUUUAGGGACUGGGGCGCCGCGGGAGACAGGCGCCGAAACGCUUGAGCAGCUCUGCCACGCUUGUUCGGCGGCAGCUGCCGGCGUAGGCGGGGGCAGGGCGGCGGGGAUCGCAAGCCCCAACCCUGCGCCCUGCGCCAGGGGCGCCGUGGGAAAUCGCUGCGGGGAUGCCCGAGCGGCUCUAAUGCGCCGGCCCAGGGACGGCGGCCGGCGCAGGCGCAGGAGUCUUCGCCCGGAGGGGCUGUCCACGCACACACCCGGCCCCUCCCGCAGGGCGCAGGCGCCGGCAUCCCUGAGCAGGGGCGCCAGGUUUAAAAGCCGGGCGGCCAGGACACAAAGGGAGAGGAUCAAAGGGACGGAGCCCCGGCAAGCGGGGCGCGGAGACUCGCGCCAGACGGCGGCGGGGCGGCAGGACUGUUGCACGGACCAAGACCGAUGACCGAGCGCCCUAGGACUGGAGUGGAAACAUGCGCUGUAAAUAACGGUGGCUGUGACCGCACUGGAGUUCACUGCAGCUGUCCUGUUGGAUUUACACUCCAGUCUGAUGGGAAGACGUG